GGCCAGCCCUGUCUGGAAGACUAGUGAUUUUGUUGUUGUCUUACUAUGCCCAGCAACAAGUCCCAGUCUGCCACACGAUGCUGGCCACAU
rnacentral:pre_miRNA from 1 species